UAGGGAAUCUUCCACAAUGGACGCAAGUCUGAUGGAGCAACGGCCGCGUGAGUGAAGAAGGUUUUCGGACCGUAAAGCUCUGUUGUUGGUGAAGAAGGAUAGAGGUAGUAACUGGCCUUUAUUUGANGGUAAUCAACCAGAAAGUCACGGCUAACUACGUGCCAGCAGCCGCGGUAAUCGUAGGUGGCAAGCGUUGUCCGGAUUUAUUGGGCGUAAAGCGAGCGCAGGCGGAAGAAUAAGUCUGAUGUG
rnacentral:rRNA from 1 species